rnacentral:rRNA from 1 species
UACAGAGGUCUCAAGCGUUGUUCGGAUUCAUUGGGCGUAAAGGGUGCGUAGGUGGCGCCGUAAGUCGGGGUGUGAAAUUUCGGAGCUUAACUCCGAAACUGCAUUCGAUACUGCGGUGCUUGAGGACUGGAGAGGAGACUGGAAUUCAUGGUGUAGCAGUGAAAUGCGUAGAGAUCAUGAGGAAGACCAGUGGCGAAGGCGGGGUCUCUGGACAGUUCCUGACACUGAGGCACGAAGGCCAGGGGAGCAAACGGG